rnacentral:rRNA from 1 species
UACGUAGGCAGCGAGCGUUGUUCGGAGUUACUGGGCGUAAAGGGUGUGUAGGCGGUUUUUUAAGUUUGGGGUGAAAUCUCCCGGCUCAACCGGGAGGGUGCGCCGAAUACUGAGGGACUAGAGUACGGGAGAGGAAAGUGGAAUUCCUGGUGUAGCGGUGAAAUGCGUAGAUAUCAGGAGGAACACCGGUGGUGUAGACGGCUUUCUGGACCGUAACUGACGCUGAGACACGAAAGCGUGGGUAGCAAACAGG